UGGGGAGAAGAGUUAGGGCUCGCACACUGUUUGCCACACCUUCACGCCCCGCUGCCUGUUACACAGUCACAGACUUCUUGUUUCAAUAGCUGAAUGUACUGUACCAGUCCACUGAGGACAAGCUACAGAGAGAAAUAGUGUGAACAAGAUCAAAGUCUGUCACAUCGACUGCACUCCUUGUGAGCACUGCACAACAGGCAGUGAUCCACUCAGUCAGAAGAAAAUGUCAUCAAAUUGCUGGGGCUACAGACAAUGCCUUCUAUUUUUAAACACUGAGUCACACAGAAGGAGGCAGACAAGUUUCCAAUUGACAGGAGAAGCUGUCAAGCCUGUCAGUCAGACGAAAAAAUCUGGAUGUAAGGAGUCUGCAUGCUCUAAUGAACAAGAACUUAUCAGCCACAGUAUGUCUCCUACUGUCCCACUUGCCUACUGUCUUUCAUUAGCUGCUUAUCUUACGCCUGUUGGUGUCAUCUUUCAUACUUCACAUUUUGAUUAGCAUUUGAUUCGCAUGGAAAGUAGGAAAAUCAUUUUAUUAGAGCCAAUUACUGCUACAAGAGACAAUUUCACCAACCAAAUUGUAUUCCCCGCCCCUCUCCCUGUCAAACAACAGUGGUCUGGUAAUUACAAUGAUGAGACAUGUUCUAUAACGGUGGAAACACGUUAAUUAUUCACAAACAUGAUUUUGUAUUCUUCUGCAUUGAACUUGGAGUGUUGUUGCACAUUUAUCUCACGUGUCACGGAGUAAGAUAUUUUACUGUUAUUUUUUAUUAUUGUUAUUAUUUUUAAUGUGUUAUGUUUCCUUUUCUUUAGCUGUGUCACGCUUUGAUGGGAGUAUGUAAAUUCUUCAUUUACCCAAAGAUGACAGUCUAGCCUUUGACACUGACAGGAUGUCUGCCACAUUCACACAUUACACCGCACUCUUUUUACGAUUGUAUGACAAUUAUGGAGUGUCGGAUUUACCUGUGGAAUGCUGCUUCAUUCCUCAAAGUUACUGCAACACAUUACCAGCAGGUCCCUGCCUUAUUACACUAGGGUGUCACUGAUGUGUCUCGUUUAAAACUGACUGUAAGCAGAAAUUGGAAGAGCUUAAUUCAGGUUUGUUUCUUUUUUCCUCAUUGAAAGACAUGAAAAAACAAGCUUAUAUUGUUUAUUUAAAAUGAAGCAUAAGUCUGCUCACAUGAAAAAUAAUAAGCAAACAAAUCGAUUUAAAAAAGGUUACUAUCGAAUAACAAUAAUGACAGUUCAUGCUGCAGUUUGAAUUAGCUGCAGCUGUACUUUAGUCCUGCAGGUGGUGGUAGUGUAACAUUUCAAAGUGAUACCAAUUUAACAAAUAUUAAGUACGGUAGCUUCUGUAUGGUCAC